AUUGAACGCUGGCGGCAGGCCUAACACAUGCAAGUCGAGCGGAUGAAGGGAGCUUGCUCCUGGAUUCAGCGGCGGACGGGUGAGUAAUGCCUAGGAAUCUGCCUGGUAGUGGGGGAUAACGUCCGGAAACGGGCGCUAAUACCGCAUACGUCCUGAGGGAGAAAGUGGGGGAUCUUCGGACCUCACGCUAUCAGAUGAGCCUAGGUCGGAUUAGCUAGUUGGUGGGGUAAAGGCCUACCAAGGCGACGAUCCGUAACUGGUCUGAGAGGAUGAUCAGUCACACUGGAACUGAGACACGGUCCAGACUCCUACGGGAGGCAGCAGUGGGGAAUAUUGGACAAUGGGCGAAAGCCUGCUCCAGCCAUGCCGCGUGUGUGAAGAAGGUCUUCUGAUUGUAAAGCACUUUAAGUUGGGAGGAAGGGCAGUAAGUUAAUACCUUGCUGUUUUGACGUUACCAACAGAAUAAGCACCGGCUAACUUCGUG
rnacentral:rRNA from 1 species